UACGUAGGGGGCUAGCGUUGUCCGGAAUCAUUGGGCGUAAAGAGCGUGUAGGCGGCCCGGUAAGUCCGCUGUGAAAGUCGGGGGCUCAACCCUCGAAUGCCGGUGGAUACUGUCGGGCUAGAGUGCGGAAGAGGCGAGUGGAAUUCCUGGUGUAGCGGUGAAAUGCGUAGAUAUCGAGAGGAACACCUGCGGCGAAGGCGGGUUGCUGGGCUGACACUGACGCUGAGGCGCGAAAGCUAGGGGAGCGAACGGG
rnacentral:rRNA from 1 species